UGGUUGUCGUCAGCUCGUGCCGUGAGGUGUCGGGUUAAGGUCCCAUAACGAGCGCAACCCCUACCUUUAGUUGCCAUCAGGUUAAGCUGGGGACUCUAAAGGAACUGCCUACGCAAGUAGUGAGGAAGCGGGGAUGACGUCAAAUCAGCACGGCCCUUACGUCCAGGGCUACACACGUGCUACAAUGGCCGAUACAGAGGGCAGCUACCUGGUGACAGGAUGCAAAUCUCCAAAGUCGGUCUCAGUUCGGAUCGGAGUCUGCAACCCGACUCCGUGAAGUUGGAUUCGCUAGUAAUCGCGCAUCAGCCAUGGCGCGGUGAAUACGUUCCCGGGCCUU
rnacentral:rRNA from 1 species